GGAAGUAAAAGUCGUAACAAGGUUUCCGUAGGUGAACCUGCGGAAGGAUCAUUACUAGAGCAAAGGAUAGGCAGCGCCCCACCGAAGCUUGCUUCGUGGGGUGUCGAGCCGUCGACCCUCUCGGAGAAGGUCGGUCCUGAACUCCACCCUUGAAUAAAUUACCUUUGUUGCUUUGCGGGCCGCCUCGCGCCAGCGGCUUCGGCUGUUGAGUGCCCGCCAGAGGACCAUGUUUUAGUGAUGUCUGAGUACUACAACUCUUAUAAUAGUUAAAACUUUCAACAACGGAUCUCUUGGUUCUGGCAUCGAUGAAGAACGCAGCGAAAUGCGAUAAGUAAUGUGAAUUGCAGAAUUCAGUGAAUCAUCGAAUCUUUGAACGCACAUUGCGCCCUCUGGUAUUCCGGGGGGCAUGCCUGUUCGAGCGUCAUUAUAACCACUCAAGCUCUCGCUUGGUAUUGGGGUUCGCGGUUCCGCNGCCCCUAAAAUCAGUGGCGGUGCCUGUCGGCUCUACGCGUAGUAAUACUCCUCGCGUCUGGGUCCGGUAGGUCUACUUGCCAGCAACCCCCAAUUUUUACAGGUUGACCUCGGAUCAGGUAGGGAUACCCGCUGAACUUAAGCAUAUCAAUAAGCGGAGGA
rnacentral:rRNA from 1 species